rnacentral:lncRNA from 1 species
UUAUCUGUACAGUUUCCUCAAGUCAUUUCGGUAUAGGGAAUUACAAGUUUUAUGUCAGAACAUUUUGUUUAACUACAUAACUUGUCGAAAUUCGUUGACUGACAAGCACCUGGCUUCCUUUCAGCGCCAUCUUCAGUUAACGGUAAUGAAGCGUUUUCAUUGGUCGAACGAUUACGGAAGGUCACGAGUAUUUUUAGCUUAUCGAAAGAAAUUUUAUUAUUAUAUUCUAUUUACGGAACAAACAUUUUAGCAAAUAUAAAGUCGCUUGAGAAUGAUUUUUGUAUAUCUAUUUAAUAAAUAUAAACAUUUCAUAACGGCCGAAGUGAGAAAUGCCGCAAAUGAUUUCCAUUGGUUUACUGUCCAAUCUUGCAGUUGCGCGGUAGAAAAUCGCACAGAAACUGCACGGAAAAUGCAAAAACUUGCACAAUUUUUAAGUACAAGUAUAAAACCCCAAAACGCGAGUCUGACGUCAUUCUGGCUAAGACGUUGAUAAAAUAAUAAGGAG